AGAGUUUGAUCCUGGCUCAGGGUGAACGCUAGUAGUAUGCUUAACACAUGCGAGUCGAACGAAGAAGAAUUCUUCGUGGCGUACGGGUGAGUAAUACACAGGAAUCUGCCUUUUAGUUCAGGAUAAAAUUCUGAAUAAUCAAAGAAUACUUUUCGCUAAAAGAUGAGCCUGUGGAGGAUUAGGUAGUUGGUAUUUUGGGUAAAAGCCUACCAAGCCUGUGAUCCUUAGCUGUUCUGAGAGGUUGUACAGCCACACUGGGACUGAGACAAGGCCCAGGCUUCAUUUGGAGCCAGCAGUGAGGAAUUUUGGACAAUGAGCGAAAGCUUGAUCCAGCAAUACUACAUGAGUGAUGAAGGCUUUCAAGUUGUAAAACUCUUUGGUUGAGGAGGAUAAUGACAGUACUCAACAAAAUAGCCCCGGCUAACUUCGUGCCAGCAGCCGCGGUAAGACGAAGGGGGCGAGCGUUAUCCGGAAUGACUGGGCGUAAAGGGUCCGUAGGCAGCAUUUUUAGUUAGAGGUUAAAUCAAAAAGCUUAACUUUUUUCCGCUUCUAAAACGUAAAUGCUUUGAGUUUGACAGGAGAUAGCAGAAUUUCACAUGGAGGGGUGAUAUCCAUAGAUAUGUGAAGGAAUACCAGAGGCGAAGGCGGCUAUCUAGGUCAAUACUGACGUUGAGGGACGAAAGCAUGGGGAGCAAACAGGAUUAGAUACCCUGGUAGUCC
rnacentral:rRNA from 1 species